UUAAGCAUAUCAAUAAGCGGAGGAAAAGAAACCAACAGGGAUUGCCCUAGUAACGGCGAGUGAAGCGGCAACAGCUCAAAUUUGAAAUCUGGCCCUUUCAGGGUCCGAGUUGUAAUUUGUAGAGGGUGUUUUGGCGUCGGCCGUGGUCUAAGUUCCUUGGAACAGGACGUCACAGAGGGUGAGAAUCCCGUACGUGGCCGCCGGUCUUCGCCGUGUAAAACCCCUUCGACGAGUCGAGUUGUUUGGGAAUGCAGCUCUAAAUGGGAGGUAAAUUUCUUCUAAAGCUAAAUAUUGGCCAGAGACCGAUAGCGCACAAGUAGAGUGAUCGAAAGAUGAAAAGCACUUUGGAAAGAGAGUCAAAAAGCACGUGAAAUUGUUGAAAGGGAAGCGCUUGCAGCCAGACUUGCCUGUAGUUGCUCAUCCGGGCUCUUGCCCGGUGCACUCUUCUAUGGGCAGGCCAGCAUCAGUCCAGGCGGUUGGAUAAAGGCCUGCUAAAUGUACCUCCCCCCGGGGAGGACUUAUAGGGCAGGCGACAUACAACCAGCUUGGAUUGAGGUCCGCGCAUCUGCUAGGAUGCUGGCGUAAUGGCUGUAAGCGGCCCGUCUUGAAACACGGACCAAGGAGUCUAACAUCUAUGCGAGUGUUUGGGUGUCAAGCCCGGACGCGUAAUGAAAGUGAACGGAGGUGGGAACCCCUCGGGGCGCACCAUCGACCGAUCCUGAUGUCUUCGGAUGGAUUUGAGUAAGAGCAUAGCUGUUGGGACCCGAAAGAUGGUGAACUAUGCCUGAAUAGGGUGAAGCCAGAGGAAACUCUGGUGGAGGCUCGCAGCGGUUCUGACGUGCAAAUCGAUCGUCAAAUUUGGGC
rnacentral:rRNA from 1 species